rnacentral:sRNA from 1 species
GCUGGGUACAGUGGAAUGUGCCUGUAGACCCAGCUUCUGGGUAGGCUGAAGCAAGAAGAUCACUUAAGCCCAGGACUUCUGUACCAGCGUGGGCAACAUAGCAAGACCUGUCUCAA